AUGAUUUGGUGGCUGCAGUACAUCAGAUUUUUUUGCCUUCGAGGAGAUAACUGGAAUCUCCUUAACUCUGCGCAUAUUGUCCUGCUACCCAAGACUAAGGCUGCGGUCUCAGCCAAUGAUUUCAGACCAGUGAGCUUGUUGCACAACUUUGCCAAAAUUGUCUGCAAGUUGUUGGCCAAUAGGUUGGGCCCGGAAUUGCAGCAACUUAUAUCUUGCACUCAAAGUGCCUUCAUUCGCGGAAGAUCAAUCCAAGACAGUUUUCUUUAUGUC
rnacentral:rRNA from 1 species